GCCACACCAUAUUCCUGUCAGGAUGUGUCCCUUGGAUGUCACUGGGUCCCUUCAGAGGCCUGGGGACUCCUCCCCACCUUUCCAGAUACUUUAAAGAAAUGAUACCCAAGCAUACAGCAAAUACUUUUUAAAGGACACAGAAAGUAACUGCACAUUACAACUACUCAACAUUAACAAGAUGUUUCAACAGCACUUUCAUUAUUAAGAGGUAUCUUCAAGGAAUGCCCUCACAGCGUUCGGCUUUGGCAGAGAUGC